UUGCCCUGACUGCUUUCCUUUCUGCACUCCCAGUGCUCCAAGCCAGCCUUGCCCUGACUGCUUUCCUUUCCGCACUCCCAGUGCCUCCAAGCAAGCCUUGACUGCUUCCUUUCUGCACUCCCAGUGCCUAGUCUCUUUGACUCUAUCUGGAGAGAUCAGCCUCUCUCCUACCUGCUUCCUGGGAGGAAGCCAGCAAUCCCU